AACCAGCUCUUCAAGUGGUCGGGAUGAUUAUUGGGCUUAAAGUGUCCGUAGCCGGUUUAGUAAGUUCCUGGUAAAAUCAGGUAGCUUAACUAUCUGUAUGCUAGGAAUACUACUAUACUAGAGGGCGGGAGAGGUCUGAGGUACUACAGGGGUAGGGGUGAAAUCUUAUAAUCCUUGUAGGACCACCAGUGGCGAAGGCGUCAGACUGGAACGUGCCUGACGGUGAGGGACGAAAGCCAGGGGAGCGAACCGGAUUAGAUACCCGGGUAGUCCUGGCCGUAAACGAUGCAUACUAGGUGAUGGCCCGGCCAUGAGCCGUGUCAGUGCCGUAGGGAAACCGUUAAGUGUGCCGCCUGGGAAGUACGGUCGCAAGGCUAAAAACUUAAAGGAAUUGGCGGGGAGCACCACAAGGGUGAAGCCUGCGGUUC
rnacentral:rRNA from 1 species